CCUCUCAUGGCGUAGUGGUUACGCGCCCCAACUAGAGAUCUGGGAGUCGUGAGUUCGAUUCUCACUGAGAAGA
rfam:Aedes aegypti strain Liverpool supercont1.3285 genomic scaffold, whole genome shotgun sequence.